rnacentral:misc_RNA from 1 species
AAGUCGUAACAAGGUUUCCGUAGGAAGGAUCAUUAACACGUAUCCAAACGUUAACCCCCCUGUGAACCAGUUCAAUGUGCUCGCACAUUUUGCCAAACAGUUUGAUUUGGGACUUCCUCAAAGAGUGUGCGCGAGGCAAGUGGCCUGGCAUUCCCAAGCAGUUAGUGUCUGAAAGUGUCAUUAGCUGUGUAAGGAUGACGCAGUCACGAUCGUUGGAGGCCGACACGGCCGACGACCGGGUCACUGGGCGAAAGCUCCUUUAUCACCCCUUUUAUGCAUGUCAGACGUGCCAGCCUUAAUUGAGCGGCAACAAAAAACCGAACAACUGUUAACAAUGGAUAUCUUGGUUCUC